rnacentral:rRNA from 1 species
CCUACGGGGGGCAGCAGUGGGGAAUAUUGGGCAAUGGGCGCAAGCCUGACCCAGCAACGCCGCGUGAAGGAAGAAGGCUCUCGGGUUGUAAACUUCUUUUGUUAGGGAAGAGUAGAAGACGGUACCUGACGAAUAAGCCACGGCUAACUACGUGCCAGCAGCUGCGGUAAUACGUAGGUGGCAAGCGUUGUCCGGAUUUACUGGGUGUAAAGGGCGUGUAGCCGGGUUGACAAGUCAGAUGUGAAAUCCUGCGGCUUAACCGCAGAACUGCAGUUGAAACUGUUGAUCUUGAGUACUGGAGAGGCAGAUGGAAUUCCUAGUGUAGCGGUGAAAUGCGUAGAUAUUAGGAGGAACACCAGUGGCGAAGGCGGUCUGCUGGACAGCAACUGACGGUGAGGCGCGAAAGCGUGGGGAGCAAACAGGAUUAGAUACCCUUGUAGUC